GACGUAGGGCGCGAGCGUUGUCCGGAAUUAUUGGGCGUAAAGAGCUCGUAGGCGGUCUGUCGCGUCGGAUGUGAAAGCCCGGGGCUUAACCCCGGGUCUGCAUUCGAUACGGGCAGACUAGAGUGUGGUAGGGGAGAUCGGAAUUCCUGGUGUAGCGGUGAAAUGCGCAGAUAUCAGGAGGAACACCGGUGGCGAAGGCGGAUCUCUGGGCCAUUACUGACGCUGAGGAGCGAAAGCGUGGGGAGCGAACAGG
rnacentral:rRNA from 1 species